rnacentral:lncRNA from 1 species
CAUCAAACUCUUCUUUAAGGCACUGAAAGCUGUGUCUCUCCUUAUUCCCAUAAAAUUGGGUCUGGAUUGUUAUUUUUCAGUAAAGUAUAUAAUGGUUUGGCUGUAAGAGAGAAAUUUGAAAUCUAAUUUCAGUAAUAACCAACUAGCCCAAGAAAACCAUGAAGUUUUUUCUAAGUUGGCACUUUUGAGUUUUGGGAAACUUAGGAAUCCAUUGUCUAUCUGGCUCCAGGUAUAACCCUCGUUCUGAUAUCAGAUACCCUAAAUAUUGAAUCUGGGUUUGGGCAAACUGAAAUUUUUCCUUGUCGACCUUAAGUCCCUUUAAGGUGAAAAGCUUUCUCAAGUGGAUGCCGUUUUCCUGUAAGGAGGCUUAAGAAGGGGAGCAAAGAAGCAAAUCAUCCACAUAUUGCAACAAAGAAGGAAGCUCUCAGGGACUUUAUAUCAACCAGAUCAGCCUUAAGGAUUUGCAAGAAAUAAAGACUCCAUAAAAGCCUGAGGCAUUACUGUCCAGGUGAAUUCUUCUCCUUCCCAAGUGAAGGCAAGAAGGUAUUGGUUUGCUUCAUCAGCUGAAAUAGCUUCCCUUGCAGGUCAGUCAGUGAAGAAUCUGCCUGCAGUGCAGUUGUUUGGUUGUUAAAUCAUGUCCGACUCUUUGUGACCCCAUGGACUGUGGCCUGGAAGACUCCUCUGUCCAUGGGAUUUCCCAGGCUAGAAUACUGGAGUGGGUUGCCGUUUCCUUCUCCAGGGUAUCUUCCCAAUCCAGGGAUCGAACUCACAUCUCUUGUCUUCACAGGCAGAUUCUCUAGCACUGCUCCACCUGGAAAGAGUACUGGUUAAUUCUAGAGAGAUUUGAAUCUUGAUGGGAGGUUCACGACCUGAAAUAAAUUUCUUCAGCAAAGAUGGGUUUAUUCAGGAUCGGCAAAGAAUCGUGAGUCAGAGUCUGCAAACAUGGCGGAUUCUUUACCAACGGAGCUAUGAGGGAAGCCCUGGGGACAUCAGGAGGAAGACAUUUGAAGAAAGGCAAACUGGUUAGCAAAGGUGACAAAAGAGUCAAAUCAGUGUCUUCAAGAAAUCUUGUUUUGGACUUCCCUGGUGGUCCAGUGGUUAAGAAUCCACCUGUCAAUGCAGGGGACAUGGGCUCGAUCCCUGAUCCGGGAAGAUUCCACCUGCCACAGGGCAACUAA